GGUGUCGGACAUCGCGACCCGUUUGCCGUCGAUGCUCAGGUACGCGACGAAGUUCGUAUGCGUCGUCAUUUCGGUGGCGACGCGGCGAUCUCGCGUCACCAAUGCGUCGACGCAGACGGUAGCUUUGCGCGUGGGUAACCGGCGCGGUCCUCGCUCGCGCUCUCGUAGUGCGGGCGGUACUCGCGCCGACACCGGUCAGCGAUGAAUUUUCAGGUCUCUUUCCGACCCGUCUUGAAACACGGACCAAGGAGUCUAGCGUGCGCGCGAGUCGCGGGGUAUUCGAAGUGUCGUAGCCGUUCCGCGGUGAAUGCAUUUCGUAAUGAUACGAAACCCGUAUACGUGCAUUGUGCGAAGGCGUAAUGAAAGUGAAAGGCGGCGCCUCGUGCGCCGCCGGGGGAAGAUGAUGUUCUGUGUACACGUUUCGCGGUCACGCAUGUAUCGCGACCAGACAUCCGCAUUCCCAGGGCGUCCUAUCCGUUCGCCUGUGAUCGGGGCUCGCUUCGGUCGCAGGUGAAUUGGGGCGCACCUACAGCGUGCACGCUGGUAC
rnacentral:rRNA from 1 species